UGAGGAAUAUUGGUCAAUGGGCGAGAGCCUGAACCAGCCAAGUAGCGUGCAGGAUGACGGCCCUAUGGGUUGUAAACUGCUUUUAUAUGGGAAUAAAGUGAGGUACGUGUCCCUUAUUGCAUGUACCAUACGAAUAAGGACCGGCUAAUUCCGUGCCAGCAGCCGCGGUAAUACGGAAGGUCCAGGCGUUAUCCGGAUUUAUUGGGUUUAAAGGGAGCGUAGGCUGUUUGUUAUGCGUGUUGUGAAAUGUAAGAGCUCAACUUUUAGAUUGCAGCGCGAACUGGCAGACUUGAGUGCGCACAACGUAGGCGGAAUUCAUGGUGUAGCGGUGAAAUGCUUAGAUAUCAUGACGAACUCCGAUUGCGAAGGCAGCUUACGGGAGCGCAACUGACGCUAAAGCUCGAAGGUGCGGGUAUCGAACAGG
rnacentral:rRNA from 1 species